UUCCGCUGUGGCGCGUGGUUAUCACCAUAGCAACCCAAGGAGCUAAUUUUGUCGCCGCAGUGUCACAAUAUUUGGGGGGUUUGGGGUUAAUGUCCCAGCUCAUGGGGACAAGCGGUUGAGAUGAAACCGUGAGUUUUCAUUUAUAAUACAAAACCCAGCCUUCAGGGGUACGGAGACAAGCUUGAAAACAGGACCCAGCUGUGACACUCUGAAUAAGUUUCCCAGACCUGAAGAAGAGCUCUGCAUAAACUCAAAACCUUGUCUCUCUCACCAACAGAAUUUGGUCCAAUAAAAGAUAAUACCUCACCCACCUUGUACAUCUAAUAUCCUGGGACCAAUAUGGCUUCUCCAACACUCUACAAAAUAUGGACAUUUUGCAGUUGUUUGUUGCACCAAAGCAGUCAGGGUGUUAACUCAUUGACAGUGAAAACCCAUUGUUUCUGUCGUCUAUCACAUCUCAUGACACAGAGCCUGCCUGGAGAGUGAAACUGAAUAUUCAUGGAAACACUAGUGACUUUUAAAUAAUCCAGAAGCAGACAUCUAAACUUCAACACCUCCCAGAACGGAAGUCACCUGACACAGCCCUGACUAGCCCUGAAAGUACUCUCAACAAAUGGGCCAGAGACACAACUUACAAAGACCAACAGUAUCGUGUGCCCCAGUGGUAGUAGUUAUAAAGAAAAGUGGAAAAAUAUGAAUCUGUGUGGAAUUUAAAAGACUUAAUGAAGCAAUUGUUAGAGAAAAAUAUAUUAUCCCAACUCUGGAUGAUUUCCUUCCCAAAUUGAAAGGAACUAAACUGUUCUCCCAAGCUGAAUACCUUGAACCAACUCUGGCAAAUUCCUCUAGCCAAAGCUGAACUGACUACAUUUAUCAAACCCUUUGGGAGAUUUCACUUUCGAAGAUUACCAUUUGGGAUUACCAGUGCACCUGAAAUUUUCCAAAAAAAAGAUGGCAGAACUGUUAACGAACACAAAUGGAGUUGUAGUUUUCAUGGACAAUGUUUUGAUAUAUGGAUCUUCAAUGAAGAACACAACAAAACCCUCAACAAAGCCCUAGGCCUAAUCAGUCAGUCCAGAUUGAAGUUAAACAAAGAAAAGUGUGUUUUCCGCCUACCCCAAAUUGAGCUUUUGGGACAGGCAAUAAACAAAGAUGGAAUCAGUCCAUCUGAGAAAGUAAAAGGAAUCUGAGAAUGGAAUGCACCAACAAAUGUACCAGAACUGAGAGCAUACUGGGCAUGGCAAAUUACCUUGGUCAAUACCUACAAGACCUUUCUACAGUGACAAAAUCACUGCAUGAACUGUCCAGUGCAUCUUGGCUAUUGGGGCUAAAUCAAGACAUUGCCUUCUAAAAGGCAAAAUAAAUUAUUUCAGCGGCUCCAGUUUCAAGUACUAUGAUGCGAACAAACCCACAAUGGUCAGUGUGGAUGCAAACACCGCUAUGGCCUAGGUGGUAUACUGUUGCAACAACACAAAUCUGUGUGGAAGCCAGUUGUGUUUUGCUCUUGCACACUCACAGAAGCAGAAAAGUUAUACAGAGUGAAUGAAAACAAGGGCCUGGCAAGUGUGUGGGCAUAUGAAAACUUUUACAGAUAUCUGUGUGGAUGGGAUUAAUUUACAAUGAUAAAAGACUAUAAAACCCUCAUCAAUGGAAAAGGCUUGGAUCAAGCACUGCUGAGAUGUCAGUGUGUAUUGAUAAGGUUAGUGUAAUUUAAACCAACUUCUAAAUAUGUUCCUGAGAAAAAUCUGGUAGUAGCAAACACUCUGUCAUGGAACCCCGCAUCACACUGUGACGUUACCCAGGGUACAAUUUGGACUGUUGAAUAGCUGAGCCCCUUCAGUUCUCUAGCCUGGGAUGCCCUUUACAUUAUUUUGCGGUAUAAACAGCCACUCCUGGCCUGCUCACACAAUCUUCAGCAUGUAAAUUCACUCCCAGCUAAAUACAUGAGCACUCUGAGCAUUCACUUUACAUAUAGGGCAAUACUCGCAAAUUCUUAGUCCCAGCCUUGUUCCCUGAAAUGUGCAUCUUGUGCUCCUCAGCACCCUCCUGUAUAAUACAAGUUCAUAGAAAGUCCAUCAUUUCAUCAAAGGAAAAUGAUAAUCCGCCAGGCUUGUUAUCCCACACCCUUUAAUUUAAACACUGGUUAAGACAAAACAAUAAGAUAUGCUUAAUACCUACAGAAAGAUAGAUUUUAAGUGAUUACAAGUGAUGUAAGUGUAAGUGAUGAUGCAUAAAAGUCAGGAUUGGCUACAAAAAAAAGAGUAAAACUCAAGUUAAUACCUAAUUUAACAAGUGAACUUAAAAGCAAAAGAUUUUGUCUCACCAUAAGCUGCAGUAAGUUUCACAGCUGGAUCCUCUUUUCAGCCUGGAACUUCUCCCUUGCCCCCUUCUGCCUUGGUUCAGAGUCUCUCUGGUAUUCAUUGAUGUCAUGAGCAUAGAGAUGGGAGGAGGAGAGGUGAUUUUGAGGUCACUGUCUCUCAUUCUUAUAUCCCUCUCCCUUCUUUGAGGAUUACCCCCAGCUGGGUGUAGGCGACAAGCAGCCUCUUUUGGACUUCCUGUGAUGCAAUGUAAAUUCUUAUUCAUACCUUUCUCCUGCUGAAGAAUGGCCACUUAAGCAGCUGUUAGUUUUUUUAACACCUCGCUGGGGUCAGUGUGUCUUUGUCUCUGAAAAACUGGUUUGUGGGCUUUACCCAGUAUUACAACACAUUUCAGUAACAAUCAUACAGUAGAAUAUCACAACUUCACAUACAGUGUUGCUACAUAUAUAUCAAUGGGGUAAUAAUGUUCAGUAGAUUAUGACUUUUCAAAUGAUACCUCACAAGGCAUACUUUGUACAAAAUUUACCACAGUCUUGUAAAAGUGAUGAACAUGAUUGUAUAGACUGUCACACUCUCAGCUACCUAUGAUCUCAAAGAUGAUGUAAAGGCAUAUGGCGAUGCACACAGAUCAGUGUCAGAAAAGAGGCUACACCAGCUACAAAAAAGCAACCUCAACAGACAUGCAACUGCAAUAGGUUCUAAAUUACAUUAGGGCUGGCUGGCUCAACUAUAAAGGAUACUAAGUAAGUAAUAAGAAACUGCUCUGUGGUACAUAGACAAUUAAGUAAAUCGAAAGGACUCAAGAUUAAGACGACUGCAUUGUAAUUCCAAAUGAAAUGACAGAAGAAAUAUUAAACCUCAUCCACGAAGGACAUCAAGGAUUAACUAAAUGCCAUAAAUGGGCCAACCAGCCAGUGCAGUGGCUUGGCAUCAGCAAGGAUAAAAACAAUAAAGUAUCUGCAUGUGAACAUUGCAGAACUAAUAGACCAACACAACACAAAGAACUUUUAAUAACACCACAUCUACCAAACAGACGUUGGAAGAGACUAGCUUCAGAUUUCUGCGAAUACAAAGGAUAUCAUUGCUUGGUCGUAGUGAACUAUUUUUCCAUGUAUAGAGAAAUAAUGUACUUGAAAGACAUAACAUGUCACAGUGCUAUCAAGUAACUGAAGUGCACGUUUGCUUAUUUUGGCAUUCCAGAACAACAAGGGAUGGACAAUGGACCACAAUUCACUGCAGCAGAAUUUAAGUCAUUCUGAACAAAAUAUGAUUUUGAUUAUAUCACUAGCAGCCCAUGUUACCCAGAAGUGAAUGGAGAGGCUGAGAGAGCUGUACAGACAGCCAAGAAGACCCUACAACAGGAAGAUACAUUCCUUUUUAUCUGAGCUACAGGUCAAUAGCAGCUACAGGAUAUAGUCCAACAUGACUUAUGAUGGGAAGACAACUCAAAACUACUGCUCCAACUUUUGGAAAGAAUCUAUUUCCAAAGUGGCCAGACAUGAAGAAAGUAACUAAAUCUGAUAAAAAGGUAAAAUGAGUUUAUAAACACUUUUACAUCACACAAUACUCAGAGAACUGCUGUGUCUAGAACCUGGUGACCAUGUUCAUGUCAAAUUGGACAGAGAGAAAGGAUGGACAACUUCAGCUGUCAUAAAGAAAAAUAACUUAGAGCCCAGAUAUGUGAUUGAGACUAACAGAGGAGAGUUCAACUGAAACCAUUGGCAUCUAAAGUUUGUUCCUCAGAGAGAACAAUCAGCAGAGAAAACUCUACAGACAGUUUUCAGAGGAACAGCCGUGUUAGUCUGUAUUCGCAAAAAGAAAAGGAGUACUUGUGGCACCUUAGAGACUAACCAAUUUAUUUGAGCAUGAGCUUUCGUGAGCUACAGCUCACUUCAUCAGAUGUGUACCGUGGAAACUGCAGCAGACUUUAUAUAUACACAGAGAAUAUGAAACAUUACCUCCUCCCACCCCACUGUCCUGCUGGUAAUAGCUUAUCUAAAGUGAUCAUCAGGUGGGCCAUUUCCAGCACAAAUCCAGGUUUUCUCACCCUCCACCCCCCCACACAAAUUCACUCUCCUGCUGGUGCUAGCCCAUCCAAAGUGACAACUCUUUACAUAAUCAAGUCGGGCUAUUUCCUGCACCAAUCCAGGUUUUCUCACAUCCCCCCCACCCCCAUACACACACAAACUCACUCUCCUGCUGGUAAUAGCUCAUCUAAACUGACCACUCUCCAAGUUUAAAUCCAAGUUAAACCAGAGUGGAUUCCAAACUGACCACAUCCAGUUGUUGCAACUAAUGGACACCCAGAUGACCAAGCUGUUACGCUUUCAGGUUGUGUAAUUCGAAAGCCAGUAUGAUUCAGAGACAUUUAACAGAAUAAUUUAUACUGAACUUCAAAGAUACAUGUAGGUACAUUUUGUAAAUGCUAGGAACGUAUUAAAGGGGGAGAUGUAAUGGAAUGCUAAACUGUAUUAUGCUGUUAAGCCAUGAGGUGUCACAGUGUGCAACAUACCUUAUUUCAGCUAACCUCAGCCUUACAGGGCAGAGCAUUAAAGGAUCUUAUGGAAGAUGCAUCUCUGGUGUAUCUCUCUGAGAAGGAAACUAAAUAAAUGACAUAGAAGUUUGA